rnacentral:rRNA from 1 species
AUGAUGGGGAUCCAGCCCAACUUGCUCAACCAGCUGGUGUCGCUCCUCCUCGGGGCGUCCGUCGCCGGGGUGCUCAUCUUCUUCAUGUCCUCGGACGGGAUCGGCGCCGGGCCGUCCACGCCCGGCAUAUCCAGCUGGGUCAAUGGAACCAUGGCGGUGCCGGUCGCUCCUGCGCAGGAGGCUAACCACACGAGCGCAAGCAAGGUCGACGGCGUUGCCUCUCCCCUGGAAGCCAGCCACAACACUAGCCAGGCGGCGGAGGACGAGCUGGAGCGGCUGCUGCGGACGGUGGCGGACGAGCACAAGACGGUGAUCAUGACGUCGGUGAACGAGGCGUGGGCGGCGGAGGGCUCGCUGCUGGACCUCUUCCUCGAGAGCUUCCGCGCCGGGGAGCGGAUCGCGCACUUCGUGGACCACCUCCUCGUCGUGGCCCUCGACGCCGGGGCGCUGGAGCGGUGCCGGGCCGUGCACCCGCACUGCUACCUCCUGCCACCCGUGGCCGGCGGCAACAAGAACCUCUCGGACGAGAAGGUGUUCAUGAGCAAGGACUACCUGGACCUGGUCUGGAGCAAGGUCCGGCUGCAGCAAAGGAUCCUCGAGCUCGGAUACAACUUCCUCUUCACGGACGUGGACAUCAUGUGGUUCCGGGACCCAUUCGAGCGGAUGUCGGUGGCGGCGCACAUGGUGGCCUCGUCGGACUUCUACUUCGGCGACCCGUACAGCCCCGUGAACGCCCCGAACACGGGGUUCCUGUACGUGAGGUCGAGCGCGCGCAUGGUGGGCGUCUUCGAGGCGUGGCGGACGGCGAGGCUGUCGUUCCCGGGGAAGCACGAGCAGCAGGUGUUCAACGAGAUCAAGUUCGAGCUGGUCGACAAGCGUGGCCUCCGGGUGCAGUUCCUCGACACGGUGCACAACGCCGGGUUCUGCAACAACACCCGGGAUUUCAACACGCUCUACACCAUGCACGCCAACUGCUGCGUUGGCCUCGCCGCCAAGCUCCACGACCUCGGGAACCUGAUGAAGGAGUGGCGCGCGUACCGGGGGAUGGACGACGCGCAGCGCCGCCGCGGCCCCGUGCGGUGGAAGGUCCCCGGGAUAUGCAUCCACUGA